rnacentral:rRNA from 1 species
GUACCGUGAGGGAAAGGUGAAAAGCACCCCGAUGAGGGGAGUGAAACAGUACCUGAAACGGAUUGCCUACAAGCAGUAGGAGGGGUCUUGUGCCCUGACUGCGUACCUCUUGCAUAAUGGGUCUGUGACUUAAUGUACCAAGCAAGCUUAAGCCGAUAGGUGUAGGCGCAGCGAAAGCGAGUCUGAAUAGGGCAUUGAGUUAGUAGGAUUAGACGCGAAACCUUGUGAUCUACCCAUGGGCAGGUUGA